rnacentral:rRNA from 1 species
UACAGAGGGUGCGAGCGUUGUUCGGAAUUACUGGGCGUAAAGCGCGCGCAGGCGGCCUUUUAAGUCUGACGGUGAAAUGCCGGGGCUCAACCCCGUGCCCGCCGGAGAUACUGGGAGGCUGGAGACGAGUAGAGGCAAGCGGAAUUCCGGGUGUAGCGGUGGAAUGCGUAGAUAUCAGGAGGAACACCAACGGCGAAGGCAGCUCGCUGGGACGGUACUGACGCUAAGGCGCGAAAGCGUGGGGAGCGAACAGG